GGGUUGUGAGGUUAAGCGACUAAGCGUACACGGUGGAUGCCCUGGCAGUCAGAGGCGAUGAAGGACGUGCUAAUCUGCGAUAAGCGUCGGUAAGGUGAUAUGAACCGUUAUAACCGGCGAUUUCCGAAUGGGGAAACCCAGUGUGUUUCGACACACUAUCAUUAACUGAAUCCAUAGGUUAAUGAGGCGAACCGGGGGAACUGAAACAUCUAAGUACCCCGAGGAAAAGAAAUCAACCGAGAUUCCCCCAGUAGCGGCGAGCGAACGGGGAGGAGCCCAGAGCCUGAAUCAGUGUGUGUGUUAGUGGAAGCGUCUGGAAAGGCGCGCGAUACAGGGUGACAGCCCCGUACACAAAAAUGCACAUGCUGUGAGCUCGAUGAGUAGGGCGGGACACGUGGUAUCCUGUCUGAAUAUGGGGGGACCAUCCUCCAAGGCUAAAUACUCCUGACUGACCGAUAGUGAACCAGUACCGUGAGGGAAAGGCGAAAAGAACCCCGGCGAGGGGAGUGAAAAAGAACCUGAAACCGUGUACGUACAAGCAGUGGGAGCACGCUUAGGCGUGUGACUGCGUACCUUUUGUAUAAUGGGUCAGCGACUUAUAUUCUGUAGCAAGGUUAACCGAAUAGGGGAGCCGAAGGGAAACCGAGUCUUAACUGGGCGUUAAGUUGCAGGGUAUAGACCCGAAACCCGGUGAUCUAGCCAUGGGCAGGUUGAAGGUUGGGUAACACUAACUGGAGGACCGAACCGACUAAUGUUGAAAAAUUAGCGGAUGACUUGUGGCUGGGGGUGAAAGGCCAAUCAAACCGGGAGAUAGCUGGUUCUCCCCGAAAGCUAUUUAGGUAGCGCCUCGUGAAUUCAUCUCCGGGGGUAGAGCACUGUUUCGGCAAGGGGGUCAUCCCGACUUACCAACCCGAUGCAAACUGCGAAUACCGGAGAAUGUUAUCACGGGAGACACACGGCGGGUGCUAACGUCCGUCGUGAAGAGGGAAACAACCCAGACCGCCAGCUAAGGUCCCAAAGUCAUGGUUAAGUGGGAAACGAUGUGGGAAGGCCCAGACAGCCAGGAUGUUGGCUUAGAAGCAGCCAUCAUUUAAAGAAAGCGUAAUAGCUCACUGGUCGAGUCGGCCUGCGCGGAAGAUGUAACGGGGCUAAACCAUGCACCGAAGCUGCGGCAGCGACGCUGAUGCGUUGUUGGGUAGGGGAGCGUUCUGUAAGCCUGUGAAGGUGUGCUGUGAGGCAUGCUGGAGGUAUCAGAAGUGCGAAUGCUGACAUAAGUAACGAUAAAGCGGGUGAAAAGCCCGCUCGCCGGAAGACCAAGGGUUCCUGUCCAACGUUAAUCGGGGCAGGGUGAGUCGACCCCUAAGGCGAGGCCGAAAGGCGUAGUCGAUGGGAAACAGGUUAAUAUUCCUGUACUUGGUGUUACUGCGAAGGGGGGACGGAGAAGGCUAUGUUGGCCGGGCGACGGUUGUCCCGGUUUAAGCGUGUAGGCUGGUUUUCCAGGCAAAUCCGGAAAAUCAAGGCUGAGGCGUGAUGACGAGGCACUACGGUGCUGAAGCAACAAAUGCCCUGCUUCCAGGAAAAGCCUCUAAGCAUCAGGUAACAUCAAAUCGUACCCCAAACCGACACAGGUGGUCAGGUAGAGAAUACCAAGGCGCUUGAGAGAACUCGGGUGAAGGAACUAGGCAAAAUGGUGCCGUAACUUCGGGAGAAGGCACGCUGAUAUGUAGGUGAAGUCCCUCGCGGAUGGAGCUGAAAUCAGUCGAAGAUACCAGCUGGCUGCAACUGUUUAUUAAAAACACAGCACUGUGCAAACACGAAAGUGGACGUAUACGGUGUGACGCCUGCCCGGUGCCGGAAGGUUAAUUGAUGGGGUCAGCGCAAGCGAAGCUCUUGAUCGAAGCCCCGGUAAACGGCGGCCGUAACUAUAACGGUCCUAAGGUAGCGAAAUUCCUUGUCGGGUAAGUUCCGACCUGCACGAAUGGCGUAAUGAUGGCCAGGCUGUCUCCACCCGAGACUCAGUGAAAUUGAACUCGCUGUGAAGAUGCAGUGUACCCGCGGCAAGACGGAAAGACCCCGUGAACCUUUACUAUAGCUUGACACUGAACAUUGAGCCUUGAUGUGUAGGAUAGGUGGGAGGCUUAGAAGUGUGGACGCCAGUCUGCAUGGAGCCGACCUUGAAAUACCACCCUUUAAUGUUUGAUGUUCUAACGUUGACCCGUAAUCCGGGUUGCGGACAGUGUCUGGUGGGUAGUUUGACUGGGGCGGUCUCCUCCUAAAGAGUAACGGAGGAGCACGAAGGUUGGCUAAUCCUGGUCGGACAUCAGGAGGUUAGUGCAAUGGCAUAAGCCAGCUUGACUGCGAGCGUGACGGCGCGAGCAGGUGCGAAAGCAGGUCAUAGUGAUCCGGUGGUUCUGAAUGGAAGGGCCAUCGCUCAACGGAUAAAAGGUACUCCGGGGAUAACAGGCUGAUACCGCCCAAGAGUUCAUAUCGACGGCGGUGUUUGGCACCUCGAUGUCGGCUCAUCACAUCCUGGGGCUGAAGUAGGUCCCAAGGGUAUGGCUGUUCGCCAUUUAAAGUGGUACGCGAGCUGGGUUUAGAACGUCGUGAGACAGUUCGGUCCCUAUCUGCCGUGGGCGCUGGAGAACUGAGGGGGGCUGCUCCUAGUACGAGAGGACCGGAGUGGACGCAUCACUGGUGUUCGGGUUGUCAUGCCAAUGGCACUGCCCGGUAGCUAAAUGCGGAAGAGAUAAGUGCUGAAAGCAUCUAAGCACGAAACUUGCCCCGAGAUGAGUUCUCCCUGACUCCUUGAGAGUCCUGAAGGAACGUUGAAGACGACGACGUUGAUAGGCCGGGUGUGUAAGCGCAGCGAUGCGUUGAGCUAACCGGUACUAAUGAACCGUGAGGCUUAACCUUACAACGCCGAAGCUGUU
rnacentral:rRNA from 1 species